rnacentral:ncRNA from 2 species
UAUGAACUUCAGGGUCAGGUGUAAAUCCUAACCGGCGGUGAGACAUAGUAUUUUAAAAAUGGUAAGCCCGCGACCUGCGCAAGCAGUUGAUUUGGUCAAAAUCCAAAGCCGACCGUACAGUCGGGUAUAAAGAAGUCUAAA